CCCAGGUCGCCGAUGCGAUUAUUAAUCAAUAAAGCGAUGGGGCUGGAGCGGAGAGCAGGCUGCAUGCACGCAGCAGGCCAAGGAAGCGGGAAAGAAAGACCCCCGCCCGUCGCUUCCCCUGCAGCUGGACCGGACGGGGAAAAGACCCAGCCCAGGCCGCCCACUCGGACGUAAGCUUCCGGCGUGCGCCUCCGAGCCCGCGCCGCCAGAGGGCGCAGCGCCCGGCCGGUGCGGCGGCGGCGGCGCUGCUGCUGCUUGUGUUUAGUUUUUCCCUGCAGAUGCGUGCCAGGGGUGGGGGCAGAAAAAGUCACAGCGGGCGAGGCGGGUCUCUCGGGGGGAGGCGAGAGGCGGCUGUUGCCGCAGAGGGGCGGCCUUGCCCUGCUCGGCUGGCUGACCCUUUCCCCCUGCUCGCGUGCCUCUUCCUUCCUCCGAGGCUCUUCGGAUUUCCAAGCAGCAUCCUCGGCAGGAGAGCGCAGGCGGAGAGGGUCGUUGGCUUUGAUCUC
rnacentral:lncRNA from 1 species